GAUCAUGGCUCAGAUUGAACGCUGGCGGCAGGCUUAACACAUGCAAGUCGAGCGGGGAAAGGUAGCUUGCUACCUGACCUAGCGGCGGACGGGUGAGUAAUGCUUAGGAAUCUGCCUAUUAGUGGGGGACAACAUUCCGAAAGGAUGCUAAUACCGCAUACGCCCUACGGGGGAAAGCAGGGGAUCUUCGGACCUUGCGCUAAUAGAUGAGCCUAAGUCAGAUUAGCUAGUUGGUGGGGUAAA
rnacentral:rRNA from 1 species